AUGAAGUCUCACGACUGUCACGUGCUGAUGACGCAGAUACUUCCAGUUGCAAUCCGUGGGAUCAUGGACGCGCACGUCCGUGAAAUUCUAUUUGGCCUAUGCAACUUUUUCGACGUCAUCUCUCAGAAGUCGGUUGGCGCGAGGCAACUCAGAAGGCUACAGGAAGAGAUCGUGGUGAUACUAUGCGAGCUUGAGAUGUACUUCCCGCCCGCAUUCUUCGACGUUAUGGUGCAUCUGCUGGUCCAUAUCGUGGAGGAUAUCAUCCAACUCGGGCCGACGUUCCUGCACAGCAUGAUGCCGUUCGAAAGGAUGAAUGGUGUCAUCAAAGGAUACGUUCGCAACAUGUCACGUCCAGAGGGAAGGAUAGCCAGGGGCUUUCUGACCGAAGAGUGCAUCUCCUACUGCACGAAUUAUCUAGGCAUCGAGAACCCCGUUGGUCUGCCCGUCAACAGGCACCUCGGCAUGCUCGCUGGAUGGGGUCACCGUGAGGGUCGCCGCGAAAUGCAUGUCGACUUCGAGGGUCGACUCGCCGACUUUGAAAGAGCAAACCUAGUCGCGCUACAACACAUAGACGUGGUCGAUCCUUGGGUGGUAGAGCACAAAACCUUUAUUGAGAAGACGUACAAUGACCGAGGCCAACAGAGGACGGACGGAGAUAUAAUCAAAGAGCACAACUCAUGUUUCAUGCGUUGGUUCAAGCAAAAGCUUCUGUCGUACCCUUUACAUGAGGAUUCUUCCGUGGAAGAACAACUCAUAUUCGCCUUGUCACAGGGCGCCGAGCACAACCUGAUGACGUAUGAGGCGUACGAUAUCAACGGCUACACAUUCUACACCGAGGACAAGGACAUGAAGAGCGAUGGUUAUCGGAACUCCGGGGUAACGAUGGAAUCCUACACCGGUAACGACAAGGACAGAUACUACGGAAGGAUCGAGGAGAUCUGGGAGCUGAGCUACGCUGGAGAGAAGGUCCCGAUGUUCCGUGUCAGAUGGGCCAAGAGCGUCAUAAAAGAAGACCGGUAUUUCACCACCAUGGUUAUACCCGAAGCCAAAUCCAAGACCGCAGGCGCGAACGUCACCGCGAAAAAUGAGCCAUGGGUACUGGCUUCCCAAGUGGACCAAUGCUUCUUCAUUACCGACCCGUCAAAGCCCAGUCGUGUUGUCGUGAGGAGAGGCAAAAGGAAGAUCAUCGGAAUGGAUGGAGUCGCCAAUGAGCAAGACUUCAACAAGUACGGCGACCCGAAGAUGGAACAUGACGACGACGAUGAAGUAUCAGCAUACACCACAAGAAGAAGCAGGACCACCCUACCUAAAGGACGUCCGUUCAAGAGAAGAACUCCAUUUACAAAAAAUAAGGGCAAGAAGAUUGUGAACAGAUAG
rnacentral:rRNA from 1 species